UACGUAGGGUGCGAGCGUUAAUCGGAAUUACUGGGCGUAAAGCGUGCGCAGGCGGUUGUGCAAGACAGAGGUGAAAUCCCCGGGCUUAACCUGGGAAUGGCCUUUGUGACUGCAUAGCUAGAGUGUGUCAGAGGGGGGUGGAAUUCCACGUGUAGCAGUGAAAUGCGUAGAGAUGUGGAGGAAUACCGAUGGCGAAGGCAGCCCCCUGGGAUAACACUGACGCUCAUGCACGAAAGCGUGGGGAGCAAACAGG
rnacentral:rRNA from 1 species